rnacentral:rRNA from 1 species
GACGAACGCUGGCGGCGUGCUUAACACAUGCAAGUCGAACGGAAAGGCCCUGCUUGCAGGGUACUCGAGUGGCGAACGGGUGAGUAACACGUGGGUGAUCUGCCCUGCACUUCGGGAUAAGCCUGGGAAACUGGGUCUAAUACCGGAUAGGAGCCAUUUUUAGUGUGAUGGUUGGAAAGUUUUUUCGGUGUAGGAUGAGCUCGCGGCCUAUCAGCUUGUUGGUGGGGUAAUGGACUACCAAGGCGGCGACGGGUAGCCGGCCUGAGAGGGUGGACGGCCACAUUGGGACUGAGAUACGGCCCAGACUCCUACGGGAGGCAGCAGUGGGGAAUAUUGCACAAUGGGCGCAAGCCUGAUGCAGAGACGCCGCGUGGGGGAUGACGGCCUUCGGGUUGUAAACUCCUUUCGCUAGGGACGAAGCUUUUUGUGACGGUACCUAGAUAAGAAGCACCGGCUAACUACGUG